rnacentral:ncRNA from 1 species
AUAUGCAGGGGAGCUUGUUAAACAGGCUGAGAGGAAACAGGAAAAGUUUCGACCCUUAAACCUGAUUUGGAUAAUGCCAACGCAGGAAGCAGC